CCAACAGCUCUAGAGAUCAAAGUCCUCUCGAAUAGCCACAGAAGGACAGCACAGCCACAUGGCAUUGCCUUUGUGCUUCACAGCCUGACCUCGAUGGACAACCUCUAGGGUUAAGUGAGCAGUUUAGUCUCCAGGGCUCAUUCAGUCCUUGGGCUCU
rnacentral:sRNA from 1 species